rnacentral:rRNA from 1 species
UUGCAAGUCGAACGAUGAUGCCCAGCUUGCUGGGUGGAUUAGUGGCGAACGGGUGAGUAACACGUGAGUAACCUGCCCCUGACUCUGGGAUAAGCGUUGGAAACGACGUCUAAUACUGGAUACGACUGCCGGCCGCAUGGUCUGGUGGUGGAAAGAUUUUUUGGUUGGGGAUGGACUCGCGGCCUAUCAGCUUGUUGGUGAGGUAAUGGCUCACCAAGGCGACGACGGGUAGCCGGCCUGAGAGGGUGACCGGCCACACUGGGACUGAGACACGGCCCAGACUCCUACGGGAGGCAGCAGUGGGGAAUAUUGCACAAUGGGCGAAAGCCUGAUGCAGCAACGCCGCGUGAGGGAUGACGGCCUUCGGGUUGUAAACCUCUUUUAGUAGGGAAGAAGCGAAAGUGACGGUACCUGCAGAAAAAGCACCGGCUAACUACGUGCCAGCAGCCGCGGUAAUACGUAGGGUGCAAGCGUUGUCCGGAAUUAUUGGGCGUAAAGAGCUCGUAGGCGGUUUGUCGCGUCUGCUGUGAAAUCCCGAGGCUCAACCUCGGGCUUGCAGUGGGUACGGGCAGACUAGAGUGCGGUAGGGGAGAUUGGAAUUCCUGGUGUAGCGGUGGAAUGCGCAGAUAUCAGGAGGAACACCGAUGGCGAAGGCAGAUCUCUGGGCCGUAACUGACGCUGAGGAGCGAAAGCAUGGGGAGCGAACAGGAUUAGAUACCCUGGUAGUCCAUGCCGUAAACGUUGGGCGCUAGAUGUAGGGACCUUUCCACGGUUUCUGUGUCGUAGCUAACGCAUUAAGCGCCCCGCCUGGGGAGUACGGCCGCAAGGCUAAAACUCAAAGGAAUUGACGGGGGCCCGCACAAGCGGCGGAGCAUGCGGAUUAAUUCGAUGCAACGCGAAGAACCUUACCAAGGCUUGACAUACACCGGAAACGGCCAGAGAUGGUCGCCCCCUUGUGGUCGGUGUACAGGUGGUGCAUGGUUGUCGUCAGCUCGUGUCGUGAGAUGUUGGGUUAAGUCCCGCAACGAGCGCAACCCUCGUUCUAUGUUGCCAGCGGGUCAUGCCGGGGACUCAUAGGAGACUGCCGGGGUCACUCGGAGGAAGGUGGGGAUG